AAAACAGAAUGGAAAUCUUUUUAUCAGGUAUUCCUAGAGGACUUGAUCCCUUCUCAGUUUCCCAGCACAUCAGACAGAUCGUAGAAACAGUUGCUCAAGUACUGGAUGUUUGGGUUCACCCAACAAAGGGAUACGGGUUUAUUACUCUGUUUGAUGUAACUUCAACUGAUUCUGUUCUUAAUCUACACAAUACAAUAUCUGUCAACGG